rnacentral:rRNA from 1 species
GACGAACGCUGGCGGCGUGCUUAACACAUGCAAGUCGAACGCUGAAGCUCAGCUUUUGUUGGGUGGAUGAGUGGCGAACGGGUGAGUAACACGUGAGUAACCUGCCCCCUUCUUUGGGAUAACGCCCGGAAACGGGUGCUAAUACUGGAUAUUCACUGGUCUUCGCAUGGGGGUUGGUGGAAAGGGUUUUUCUGGUGGGGGAUGGGCUCGCGGCCUAUCAGCUUGUUGGUGGGGUGAUGGCCUACCAAGGCUUUGACGGGUAGCCGGCCUGAGAGGGUGACCGGUCACAUUGGGACUGAGAUACGGCCCAGACUCCUACGGGAGGCAGCAGUGGGGAAUAUUGCACAAUGGGCGCAAGCCUGAUGCAGCGACGCCGCGUGAGGGAUGGAGGCCUUCGGGUUGUGAACCUCUUUCGCUCAUGGUCAAGCCGCAACAAGGGUUGUGGUGAGGGUAGUGGGUAAAGAAGCGCCGGCUAACUACGUGC